rnacentral:misc_RNA from 1 species
AACACACCUUGCACUCCUUGGUAUUCCGAGGAGUAUGCCUGUUUGAGUGUCUUGUAAUCAUCAAUCUUACAUUGCUUUCGUGAUGUCUGAUUGGAUUUGGAGACUGCUGGCUUAAUCGCUGGCUUCUCUUGAAUGCAUUAGUUGAAUCGACUUGCAACGCUACGUGUGGUGUGAUAAUAUCUUCACUGCAUAGUUGUAAUGAAGUUUGGCUUCUAACAGUCCUUCGUUGGACAAUACUUGACCAUUUGACCUCAAAUCAGGUAGGACUACCCGCUGAACUUAA